CCUACGGGAGGCAGCAGUGGGGAAUAUUGCACAAUGGGGGAAACCCUGAUGCAGCGACGCAGCGUGAGCGAUGAAGUAUUUCGGUAUUUAAAGCUCUAUCAGCAGGGGAGAAAAUGACGGUACCUGACUAAGAAGCCACGGCUAACUACGUACCAGCAGCCGCGGUAAUACGUAGGGGGCAAGCGUUAUCCGGAUGUACUGGGUGGAAAGGGAGCGUAGACGGCCCUUCACGCCAGAGGGUAAAGCGUGGGGCUCAACCCCGGGACUGCAUUUGGAACUGUAAGUCUAUAGUGUAGGAGAGGCAGGCGGAAUUCGUAGGGUAGCGGUGAAAGGCUUAGCUAUUAGGAGGAACACCAGUGGCGAAGGCGGCCUGCUGGACGAUGACUGACGCUGAGGCUCGAAAGCGUGGGGAGCAAACAGGAUUAGAUACCCGUGUAGUC
rnacentral:rRNA from 1 species